UACAGAGGGUGCGAGCGUUGUCCGGAAUCACUGGGCGUAAAGGGCGCGUAGGCGGUCCGGUAAGCGUGCGGUGAAAGCCCGGGGCUCAACCCCGGGUCGGCCGUGCGAACUGCGGGACUGGAGCUUGUCAGAGGCAGGCGGAAUUCCGGGUGUAGCGGUGGAAUGCGUAGAGAUCCGGAAGAACACCGGUGGCGAAGGCGGCCUGCUGGGACAAUGCUGACGCUGAGGCGCGACAGCGUGGGGAGCAAACAGG
rnacentral:rRNA from 1 species